rnacentral:lncRNA from 1 species
GCGACGUACCAAAGCUUAACCUGAAACCAGCCUGAGCUCGAGGCCUAAGCUCGAGGCCCCGUCAUGUGAUGGCGUAUCUCCGGUGGAUAAUAGCAGCAUAGCAUUUCCCCAACACCACCUGCUUGGUCUCGGUUUGGCUAUAACAGCGUUACCAUUUAUCUUUUUGGACGCGGGUGUUAAUAUCGUGGCAGUGAUGAACUGCUCAGGGAAAGUGUCACCCGUUGCCCUGAUGUGCUCUAGGUGGGUAUGUGGCAUAGGCAUGGUUAUUUCUUUCCUAUCUUAUCUUAAGCAGCAUAGGUGUUCAAAUGCUGUCUCCAGGCGCACUCCACUUAUAGCACUGCGCCGGCACCCUUUUACAUCCUAGCGCCUUACCGUAGGGUAGGUCCUUCACCGCCUGUAUAACCUCAAAGGCGUCAUGUGCAUGACCACUUCGGCAAGCUCCUCCUUCCCAGAAAUCGCGGAUUGUGUGGAUCCCUCCAGAUCCCGAGACCCAGAGGUAGCCCGGCCAAGGGCCCAUUGCCAAUCACAGCACGUCCGUUAAUGUAGCCAAGGAACCUCUGUGCAGCAACGGGAUCCGCCUGACUGGCCUGACCCAUCUUUUAGUACCGCU